rnacentral:rRNA from 1 species
UACGGGGGGGGCAAGCGUUGUUCGGAAUUACUGGGCGUAAAGGGUUCGUAGGUGGCCAACUCAGUCAGACGUGAAAUCCCUCAGCUCAACUGGGGAACUGCGUCUGAUACUGGUUGGCUCGAGUGCAGGAGAGGAACGCGGAAUUCCAGGUGUAGCGGUGAAAUGCGUAGAUAUCGGGAGGAACACCAGUGGCGAAGGCGACUUCCUGGCCUGUUCUUGACGCUGAGGCGCGAAAGCUAGGGGAGCAAACGGG